UGUGGUGCUUGCGAUGAUGAAGUCGCGAGAUAAUCGGGAAGCCAGUGAAAUUCUGGCACUGCCCCCGCAACGGUAAAAGGUGAGAGACGACCGCAUUUGAUAGGCGUUCACGAUGAACACUGAAAUCGAGUGUGUAAAGGUCAGUUUCGCGUUCAUCUCAAGUUGAGAUGGAUAUAGCCUAAGUCCGGAGACCGGCCCUAAAGG
rnacentral:ncRNA from 1 species